rnacentral:lncRNA from 1 species
CUACCAAGAUCUGUUUUGUAUUUGAAUUGUGUCUCCUUAUCACUUUCCAUUUGACAGAAAUCAGCAGAGCACGGGGCCGGUGAGGGUACAGUGGAGACCCAAGUGGAACACAGACCACUGGAAGAAGACCAGCUAACUGCAGGACCAAAAAAAAAUCUGCUUGGCGCCACAAAAUGCAAGAGAACUCUUUCCCCUUUCUGACUACAAAGCUCGCUACUUAAUUGUACAAAUAUUUGUGGGUUUGGCGAAGGGAAAUCUCACUUGGUAUCAACUUUCUCACAGCAGGAAAAGAACUCACACUGACGGAUCCUGGAACAGGCUGGUGAGGUGACACAGGUUCCUGUAUGAAUUUAUCUCCAUGUGCUCUAGGGAUGAGCAAAUGGUUAUAAUAUGCCU